GACGAACGCUGGCGGCGUGCCUAAUACAUGCAAGUAGAACGCUGAAGAGAGGAGCUUACUCUUCUUGGAUGAGUUGCGAACGGGUGAGUAACGCGUAGGUAACCUGCCUUGUAGCGGGGGAUAACUACUGGAAACGAUAGCUAAUACCGCAUAACAAUGGAUGACACAUGUCAUUUAUUUGAAAGGGGCAAUUGCUCCACUACAAGAUGGACCUGCGUUGUAUUAGCUAGUAGGUGAGGUAAUGGCUCACCUAGGCGACGAUACAUAGCCGACCUGAGAGGGUGAUCGGCCACACUGGGACUGAGACACGGCCCAGACUCCUACGGGAGGCAGCAGUAGGGAAUCUUCGGCAAUGGGGGCAACCCUGACCGAGCAACGCCGCGUGAGUGAAGAAGGUUUUCGGAUCGUAAAGCUCUGUUGUAAGUCAAGAACGGGUGUGAGAGUGGAAAGUUCACACUGUGACGGUAGCUUACCAGAAAGGGACGGCUAACUACGUG
rnacentral:rRNA from 1 species